GGUUUGUGGUUUUCUCUUUUUCUUUCCUUUAGGGAAAGGAAAAAUUAAAUUCACCUUCUCUGCUUCAGCUCCAGGAGGACACUGCAGACCAGAAGGAGAUCAUGUGGCAUAACAACAUGUGAUGAUGGCAGAUAAAGACAUGAGUGCUGAUUCUUUGCUCAUGAGAUAAACCUUCUUUGUGGCAGUAAUAGAUGCAACUUGCAAACAGGAGAAGAGAUGAGCAUCCUUUUGUUGUCCUUUCACUCUGUUCCGGUUCCAGCUGCUAAUACACAAGUAAUAGAAUCCAGUCUUAAGAAAAAAUGAGACCCUGAAGGUAAAAAGCCUGAAAAGUUCAAUACGGAACUGUGAAUAAAAUGUAUUGAACUAGGAGCCCAGUUAAGGUUUUGGUGAAGCUUCUCAUGU